CACUCACUCAUUCCAUCUAUCAUUAAAAGACAUGAAUAUUCUUGGAUCAUUGCACUGACAGUACCAUGUGACGCCAUGUUUGUUUAGACUGUGAAAAAUCAGCAUAUGACCACUCUAAUGUGCCUCAAUAUCCAUAUAUGACCCCAACAGAUACUGAAAAUAUCUGUUGACUUUAUCUUGUUGCAAAAGCUAUCCAUUGUAUGUUAAAUUGAUAUCCUGGAUGUUCUGAUGAUGCUGCAGUUCUACGUUAGGGACUGUGGCAUGCACAGACAUUCACACGUUCUGAUCCGUGUUUCCCUAACUGUUUUUACGGCUUGCUCAACAUCAAGGCUAUAUCCGUGUCAACUGGGACAAAGUUGAACAAGGUGUGAAUCGUGCCAAGAAAGAACUACAUAAAGAAGCCAACAAGCGGUAUCCUGGGAUUUUACAAAAUGCAAAGAAAUUUUUGCAGCAGAAUGUCUUGCUUGCUGGGUCCUUUGCUGGUGGCUUUCUGUUUGGCGUAGCUUUCUGAGUGACCUUGUAACUCUGUCCUUGCAUGAUGUGAUGUGUGAUACAGAUGACAGUGUGUGAUAUUAACAGUGUGGUGCCUCAGUCUGAUGGCCAUGGGAAUCAUUUCCACAAAAACAUUGGGCGUUCGAGAUGGAAUCCAAAGUUUUCUAUCCUUGUCUCUCCAGAUAAACACAGCCUGGAGUUCUAGUCAUCAGACAAGAUGUCUGUAGGCUUCUGACCAAACUAUCAGACUGUUUAUAUUUUUUACUGUGUUUCCCAUCUUCAAGAAAAGAAACGAAACAAAUGGCCCUAAAAGGCUUCCGUAUGUAUAGACAAGCCUUUCAAUAUUUUGUGCAUAUAAUUUAAACCUAAAAACUACCCAUCAUAAAAUGUUUUUAUUGUGUACCUUGAAAAUAGGUUCUUAACUUUACCAUGUGUUUGCUAAUAUACUUAAACAUACUAGAUAUGA